rnacentral:rRNA from 1 species
GAAGCGGCAACAGCUCAAAUUUGAAAUCUKGCCCCCUCGGGGCCCGAGUUGUAAUUUGUAGAGGGUGUUUCGGGCGCGAUGUCGGUCUAAGUUCCUUGGAACAGGACGUCGUAGAGGGUGAGAAUCCCGUAUGCGACCGGCGAUCAAGCCCGUGCGAAGCCCCUUCGACGAGUCGAGUUGUUUGGGAAUGCAGCUCCAAAUGGGUGGUAAAUUUCAUCUAAAGCUAAAUACCGGCCAGAGACCGAUAGCGGACAAGUAGAGUGAUCGAAAGAUGAAAAGCACUUUGGAAAGAGAGUCAAACAGUACGUGAAAUUGUUGAAAGGGAAGCGCUUGCAAUCAGACCGGUCCGGAGGCGAUCAGCCGCUGCUCGUCAGCGGUGCACUCGCCUGCGAUCCGGCCAGCAUCGGUUUGGGCGGCGGGAGAAAAGCCCCGGGAACGUAGCUUCUCGCGGGGAGUCUUAUAGCCCGGGUCGCAAUGCCGCCCGCCCGGACCGAGGACCGCGCUUCGGCUAGGAUGCUGGCGUAAUGGUUGCAAGCGACCCGUCUUGAAACACG